GGUAUAUAUAUAUAUUAUCUUUAAAAUUUUGUAUUAAGUUUUUAAUAAAUUUAUGUAUUGUUUUAUAUGAUUUUUUUAUGUUUAAAUUCUUACUUAAUUUUUUUAUAUAAUUUAAUUAUAAUUAAAUAAUGAAUUAAUUAGUAUAAUUUAAAACUAAAAUCUUAAUGAAUUCGACAAAUUAAAAUUCCAACUGUUUAUCAAAAACAUUUCUUUUUGGUUAUUUAAAAGGUAUUUUCUGCCCUAUGGUUUUAUUUCUAAAUGGCUGCAGUAUAUUGACUGUGCAAAGGUAGCAUAGUAAUUAGUUUCUUAAUUAGAAGCUUGAAUGAAUGGAUAUAUGAGAAUAUUAUUUUAUUAGGUUUAACAUUAAAAAUUAAAUUUUAAGUAAAAAUGCUUAAUGAAUUUCUUGGGACGAUAAGACCCUAUAGAACUUUAUUUUUUUAUUAUAGUUUAAUUAUUUUUUCAGGUUAAUUAUUUUUUAAAUUUUUUGCUGGGGUGGUAGUUAAAUAUUGACUUUAAUUUUUUAUUUCAUUAAUAGAUGUUUAUGUAGAUCUUAUAUAGGAAAAUUAAGAUUAAGUUACCUUAGGGAUAACAGCGUAAUUUUGAUGGGGAGUCCUUAUUUAUAUCAUUUUUUGCGACCUCGAUGUUGAAUUAAGAUAAAUUAAAGAAGCAGUA
rnacentral:rRNA from 1 species